rnacentral:rRNA from 2 species
CGGUAAUACGUAGGUGGCGAGCGUGUCCGGAUUUAUUGGGCGUAAAGCGAGCGCAGGCGGUUUUUUAAGUCUGAUGUGAAAGCCUUCGGCUUAACCGGAGAAGUGCAUCGGAAACUGGGAGACUUGAGUGCAGAAGAGGACAGUGGAACUCCAUGUGUAGCGGUGGAAUGCGUAGAUAUAUGGAAGAACACCAGUGGCGAAGGCGGCUGUCUAGUCUGUAACUGACGCUGAGGCUCGAAAGCAUGGGUAGCGAACAGGAUUAGAUACCCUGGUAGUCCAUGCCGUAAACGAUGAGUGCUAAGUGUUGGAGGGUUUCCGCCCUUCAGUGCUGCAGCUAACGCAUUAAGCACUCCGCCUGGGGAGUACGACCGCAAGGUUGAAACUCAAAGGAAUUGACGGGGGCCCGCACAAGCGGUGGAGCAUGUGGUUUAAUUCGAAGCUACGCGAAGAACCUUACCAGGUCUUGACAUCUUCUGCCAAUCUUAGAGAUAAGACGUUCCCUUCGGGGACAGAAUGACAGGUGGUGCAUGGUUGUCGUCAGCUCGUGUCGUGAGAUGUUGGGUUAAGUCCCGCAACGAGCGCAACCCUUAUUAUCAGUUGCCAGCAUUCAGUUGGGCACUCUGGUGAGACUGCCGGUGACAAACCGGAGGAAGGUGGGGAUGACGUCAAAUCAUCAUGCCCCUUAUGACCUGGGCUACACACGUGCUACAAUGGACGGUACAACGAGUCGCGAAGUCGUGAGGCUAAGCUAAUCUCUUAAAGCCGUUCUCAGUUCGGAUUGUAGGCUGCAACUCGCCUACAUGAAGUUGGAAUCGCUAGUAAUCGCGGAUCAGCAUGCCGCGGUGAAUACGUUCCCGGGCCUUGUACACACCGCCCGUCACACCAUGAGAGUUUGUAACACCCAAAGCCGGUGAGAUAACC